AGAUAAUGAACUUGAUAAAGUAUAUGUUUUGAAAACAUAAUAUAGAAUUUUAUUCUAUUAUCUU
rnacentral:tRNA from 1 species